rnacentral:rRNA from 1 species
GAUGAACGCUGGCGGCGGGCUUAACACAUGCAAGUCGAAGGAAGGACUGGGGGUUACUUCCUAUGGGAGAGGGCAACUGGUGACCGAGUGGCGGACGGGUGACCAACGCGCGCGUAACCACCCUAUUACAGGGGGAAAACAGGAGGAAACGCGUGCGAAGACCGCAGACGGGCACCGCAUCGCAUGAAGCAGUGGGAAAAACUGCGGGGGGAUAAGACGGAGCCGCGUGGGGGCAGCUGGACGGCGGGGUGACGGCCCACCGAGGCGGCGAUCGGUAGGGGUUCUGGGCGGAAGGUCCCCCGCACUGGAACUGAGACACGGUCCAGACGCCUACGGGAGGCAGCAGUGAGGAAUAUUGGUCAAUGGGCGUAAGCCUGAACCAGCCAAGUAGCGUGCAGGAUGACGGCCCUAUGGGUUGUAAACUGCUUUUAUGCGGGGAUAAAGUGGCCCACGUGUGGGUUUUUGCAGGUACCGCAUGAAUAAGGACCGGCUAAUUCCGUG